rnacentral:lncRNA from 1 species
AUGACCCAGGACAGCCACAGCCAGAGAACACUCACAUAAUAGCAUCAUAAGGCUCAAUGUCACAAUGAUCUGGGAAGGGCAACUAGCCAUAGGCACUGCUAUUUGGUUCAGAGAAGCACCAAUUAAUUCGACUGCUCUCUGAUCCACUUGAAGAACUCAGCUGGAAAUCAAACAAAGCCAACCUAAAAAAAAACGUCUAACACUAGAGAAUUAGAGUUUGUCAAAGGUGUUAAAAAUAAAAUGAGUGUGAAUGUCCUACAAGGUUUAUGAGAAAGUUCAGAAGGAAAGUAAAGAAAGACUAAGCAGCAAGACUUUUAGUAUUCCUGUAUCCUGGAGAAGGCAGCACUCGAGCCACCAUCUUGGAAGUGAAGAUCAGGCCCUCAGCAGACACAAAACCUGCCAGUGCCAUGAUCUUGGAUUUUUCAACCUGCAGGACUAUUCAAUGAAAUUCCAAUGAAAAUCUCAAGUUAUUAUGUGAAUAUUGAAAAACGAACCCUAAAGUUUAUAUGGAGAGCCAAAAAAUGCAAAAGAGCCAGCACAUAUUGAAAGAGAAGAACAAAGUCAGAAGAU